rnacentral:rRNA from 1 species
UACGUAGGGUGCGAGCGUUAAUCGGAAUUACUGGGCGUAAAGCGCGUGUAGGCGGCAAUGCAAGUCGGGCGUGAAAUCCCACGGCUCAACCGUGGAAGUGCACUCGAAACUGCAUAGCUAGAGUCCUGGAGAGGAAGGUGGAAUGCUUGGUGUAGAGGUGAAAUUCGUAGAUAUCAAGCGGAACACCGGUGGCGAAGGCGGCCUUCUGGACAGUGACUGACGCUGAGACGCGAAAGCGUGGGGAGCAAACAGG